GUCAAAUCAGGUGAAUUGCAGAAGUUUGAGUAUAAGCAGGCUGGUGAAUCCAGUCUCUUUACACGUUCUGGUGAUCUGAAGAAAGGGAGGUUAUCUCCCCUCAGGCAUUCACGAAGUGCUUGCAUAUCCCCAUAUCGAAAUGAAGCACCUUCUGGAGUCAAAUCAGCUGAACUGCAGAAGCUUGAGUACAAGCAGGCUGGUGAGUCACGUCGCUUUUCACAUUCUGGUGAUUUAAAGAAUGGUAGGUCAUCUACCUUCAGUAAUUCACGAAGUGCUUGCGUAUCCCCCUAUCGAAAUGAAGCACCUUGUGGAGUCAAAUCAGGUGAAUUGCAGAAGUUUGAGUAUAAGCAGGCUGGUGAGUCCAAUCGCUUUUCAUAUUCUGGAGAUUUAAAGAAAGGCAGGUCAUCUACCUUCAGUAAUUCACGAAGUGCUUGCAUAUCCCCCUAUAGAAAUGAAGCAC
rnacentral:lncRNA from 1 species